CUUUGGGAGGCCGAGGUGGGCGGAUCACGAGGUCAGGAGAUCGAGACCAUCCUGGCUAACACGGUGAAACCUCGUCUCUACUAAAAAUAAAAAUACAAAAAAUUAGCCGGGCGUGGUGGCGGGCGCCUGUAGUCCCAGCUACUCGGGAGGCUGAGGCAGGAGAAUGGCGUGAACCCGGGAGGCGGAGCUUGCAGUGAGCCGAGAUCGCGCCACUGCACUCCAGCCUGGGUGACAGAGCAAGACUCCGUCUCAAAAUAAACUAAAUUAAAUUAAAUUAAAACAAAAAAACAACCAGUCAAAUGAAGCUGCACUUCCUUAAUGUGUACAAUUUGAUGAGUAUGGACAUAGGCGUAAAUCCACGAUACCACCAUCACAAUCGAGAGAUGCCACGCCCAGAGAGAAGGAAUCUAGAGAGGCAGUCUGACCACAGCAGCCUUGCUGUGAAAGCUUUUUACAGUUUGGAUCUUCUGAGAACAUCAAAGAAAAACUGACCUUGCCAUCCACACUACAGCAAAACUUAAGGACCUUGAACUUUAGGUUUAUCAUCUCACAGCUGAGAAGGGUCCCUCCACACUCUUGGAACUGUACAUCCAUUGGAACCCUUAAGGUUUUAAAUGCUUGCCUGCAGCCAUCUCUAGAAUGGUCUCUCUUCAACUGGAAUGACAAGAGCUGAAAGAAAUCUGCAACCAGGCCAGGCACGGUGGCUCACACGUCUAAUCCCAGCACUUUGGGAGGCCAUGGUGGGUAGAUCAUGAGGUCAGGAGUUCAAGACCAGCAUGACCAACAUUGUGAAACCCCGUCUCUACUAAAAAUACAAAAAAAAUUAGCUGGGCGUGUGGCACGCACAUGUAAUCCCAGCUACUCAGGAGACUAAGGCAGGAGAAUCGCUUGAACUGGGGAGGUAGAUAUUGCAAUGAGCCGAAAUCACACCACUACACUCCUGCCUGGGCGACAAGAGCGAGACUUCGUUUCAAAAAAAAAAAAGAAAGAAAGAAAAAGAAAUCUGCAACAUAACCUAUGAAUGAUGUGCUGAGAUGGGAAACCCAAAAUGAUGGUAAAUCAGAGUGGCACUAAGGCCAUUGUCUCACCAUGGCAACCCAAAAAACAGCAGUCACAGUCUAGGUCUUUCCAGAAAGUAAAUGUAGAGCCCC
rnacentral:lncRNA from 1 species